GAGUUUGAUCCUGGCUCAGGACGAACGCUGGCGGCGUGCUUAACACAUGCAAGUCACGGGGGCUGGAGCAAUCCAGCAACCGGCGAACGGGUGCGUAACACGUGGACAACCUGCCCUCGUGUGGGGGAUAGCCGGGCUAACGCCCGGGUAAUACCGCAUACGUUCUUUCUGGGGAGUCCUGGGAAGAGGAAAGCUCCGGCGCACGGGGAGGGGUUCGCGGCCUAUCAGCUCGUUGGCGGGGUAAUGGCCCACCAAGGCGACGACGGGUAGCUGGUCUGAGAGGAUGGCCAGCCACA
rnacentral:rRNA from 1 species